rnacentral:rRNA from 1 species
AGAGUUUGAUCCUGGCUCAGGACGAACGCUGGCGGCGUGCUUAACACAUGCAAGUCGAGCGGUAAGGCACCUUCGGGUGUACACGAGCGGCGAACGGGUGAGUAACACGUGAGUAAUCUGCCCUUCACUUCGGGAUAACCGCCGGAAACGGUGGCUAAUACCGGAUACGACGCACUCUCGCAUGGGAUGUGCGUGGAAAGUCUUAUCGGUGGAGGAUGUGCUCGCGGCCUAUCAGCUUGUUGGUGAGGUAACGGCUCACCAAGGCUUCGACGGGUAGCCGGCCUGAGAGGGUGACCGGCCACACUGGGACUGAGACACGGCCCAGACUCCUACGGGAGGCAGCAGUGGGGAAUAUUGCACAAUGGGCGAAAGCCUGAUGCAGCAACGCCGCGUGAGGGAUGACGGCCUUCGGGUUGUAAACCUCUUUCAGCAGGGAAGAAGCGAAAGUGACGGUACCUGCAGAAGAAGCACCGGCUAACUACGUGCCAGCAGCCGCGGUAAUACGUAGGGUCCGAGCGUUGUCCGGAAUUAUUGGGCGUAAAGGGCUCGUAGGCGGUCUGUCGCGUCGGGAGUGAAAACUUACAGCUUAACUGUGAGCGUGCUUCCGAUACGGGCAGACUUGAGGUAUUCAGGGGAGAACGGAAUUCCUGGUGUAGCGGUGAAAUGCGCAGAUAUCAGGAGGAACACCGGUGGCGAAGGCGGUUCUCUGGGAAUAUCCUGACGCUGAGGAGCGAAAGUGUGGGGAGCGAACAGGAUUAGAUACCCUGGUAGUCCACACCGUAAACGUUGGGCGCUAGGUGUGGGAUCCAUUCCACGGGUUCCGUGCCGCAGCUAACGCAUUAAGCGCCCCGCCUGGGGAGUACGGCCGCAAGGCUAAAACUCAAAGGAAUUGACGGGGGCC